CGUGUGGGACGGGCUGCCGGCCGAAGGCUGCGGGUUCCCGUGUGGGAUGGACUGCCGCGCGGGACGGGCUCCCGUGGAGUACGGGUUCCCGGCCGCGCGGGGCGAGCUCCCGGCCGUGGGCUGCGGGCUCCCGUGUGGGACGGGCUGCCGGCCGUGGGCUGCGGUCUCCCGUGGGGUACGAGCUCCCGCGUGGGACGGGCUCCCGUGGGGUACGAGCUCCCGUCCGGCACGGCCUGGCUGAGGGUCGGCCUUCGUUCCCUCGCCCACCCACCCGAGCGCCAGGCCUGAGAGCGUUGGGGACACUCGUGGGAAGCGUGGAACCUCGCACAGGACGAACUCGGCCCGAGUGUCUCGCCCUGCUUGGUGGACUUUGACCCAGUCCGCCUUGUUAAGAGGGAAAAAAACAACCGUGUGCGGAGACGUAGGGACGCUGAAUCCUCUCAGUCGUACCCAGAGUCGCUCAGAUUCGCCAUGGAGUUAAGGAAUUAGCUAAGCGGCUGUCCACGACGUGUUCUGUGGACAGUAAGUGGCCAGGCAAUGUUUCCCGAGGUUCUCUUUGCCCGCCGAAGCAGGCUUUGGCCGGCAGGCACUUGGUGGCCGCGUAGUUUGUGCUUCCUGAGCAGACAGUGUUUGUAAGCUGUGUUUGUAAGCUGUGCAGACGAAUCUGAGGGCUAAGUCUCUUUUAUAUGGGAAGAACAGCUAAUGACAUGGAGUGGGGAACUUCUGUCCUGUUUGCUGUACAAAGCAUGUAAAAUCAUUUGGUCUGGCUUUGCCAAGGCAACUGCAGUAUACUCCUCAGGAUGUGUUAUUUGUCCCAGAUGGGAUUUGGAAGACUGAGAAACACAGCUCCAGGAAAAAGUUGUGUCUUGUUCAUUACCAUGUCUCAACAGCUUAAACCUUGGAACUUAGAUUUAAAAUUAUAUUGAAUUAUUUGUAUUCUGCCUUAUGAAAAUUCUGCAUAUACUUCUAAGUGGC